rnacentral:tRNA from 1 species
GGGUCGAUGCCCGAGUGGUUAAUGGGGACGGAUUGUAAAUCCGUUGGUUAAGUCCUACGCUGGUUCAAAUCCAGCUCGGCCCA